rnacentral:lncRNA from 1 species
UCCAGGCAAGAAUACUAGAGUGGGUUGUCAUGCCCUCUUGCAGGGGAUCUUCCUGACCCAGGGACUGAGCCCUUGUCUCUUAUGUCUUCUACAUUGACAAGUGGGUUCUUUACCACUAGCACCACCUGGGAAGCCCCUAGAAACCAAUACUGCCAGUCUUUUCUGCUCCAGCUUGGAAGCUGCUCUAAGCUGAGUCGGGCUGGGCUGGCUGGUUUGGAUGGUGCCAGCAUCAUGGCUUCUGAACUGCUGUUUUAGGGAGAUUUGUGAUGGUAAUUUGACGUGUCAGUCUCUUAGCUUUCUCUCUUUCCAGCUGGAUGAAAGCAAGACCUUGUGUUCUUUAUUAGAGCCAGAGGGUAGGACUGGACAAACUUCAAGACCCAGACCAGAUCCAUAGUGACCACGAUGGUUUCUCCUGAAGCAGCCCUGAAACCGAAGUCUCCUGGUGGCCAGAUGAUCAGCCUUCAAAACUGUGCAACGGUGAUUGGGCAUGAAUCCUGUAAGUGCCAAUAAUGUGUGAAGUCUGUGUUCAGUGCCCCAGGGCUGCAUUGUGCCUCGAAAGAGUCAGCCUGGAUUCGUGGCUUGAGGUGGAAGCCAAAGUGACUGCAGCCACUUAUACGAGGUGGACUGACCUGCUGCUCUGGUGCCCUUCCCUGGGCACCCAGCCCUGCUGGGUGGUCUCUGUCCUGACCCAGGACCUGUGAUUGACGUGAAGGGGUGGAAGCCAAAGAGCUGCGGACAAAUGGUUUGCCUUGGCCCCGCUUGCUCAGAGAGCAUGGAACACAUCUGGAGGGGGUCCUGCUGCUCUCCGUCUGCAGUCUUACCCUAAGGAUCUCAUGGAUGAAGGAAUCUGGAAGGUACCAGCCCUGUUCUCAAAGCUGUGUGUGCUGUGCUUGGUCGCUCAGUGUGUCCAACUCUUUGCAGCCCCAUGGACUAUAG